rnacentral:rRNA from 1 species
AUGAAUCACCUAGUUUGGAACUGCCAGGGGGUGGGUAACCGCUGGACAGUUCGUGACCUGUUGGCCCUAUCAAGGGCCAAUCACCCCAAGCUCGUCUUUCUUUGCGAGGCGAGACAGGCUGCUGUGAAAGUGGAAAAGCUAAGAUGGAGAAUCGGUCUCCGAGGGUUCAGAGGAGUGGACCCUGAGGGAAGAAGUGGUGGUCUUGGGCUGUUUUGGGAUGAAUCGUUACAGGUGAUAGUACUGGAGGCUUGUAAACGGUUCACUGAUGUGUUGAUAUAUGACCCAAGUGUUGACAAGCAAUGGAGUACUACUUUUCACUAG